AAAAAGAGUGAUAAAAAAAAAAUAAUAAAAUAAUAAAUAAGUAAAUAAAAAUGAAGUGGAAGAACCCAGAUUCCAAAUGAACAAAUUCAAACUUAAAAAGAAUCUUUCUGAUUCUCGAAGAAUGAGGGGCAAAGGGAUUGAUC